CGGCAGCACGGACUUCGGUCUGGUGGCGAGUGGCGAACGGGUGAGUAAUGCGCCGGAACGUAUCCAGUAGAGGGGGAUAACGCAGCGAAAGCUGUGCUAAUACCGCAUACGCCCUGAGGGGGAAAGCAUGGGAUCUUCGGACCAUGCGUUAUUGGAGCGGCCGACGUCUGAUUAGCUAGUAGGUGAGGUAAAGGCUCACCUAGGCGAUGAUCAGUAGCUGGUCUGAGAGGAUGAUCAGCCACACUGGAACUGAGAGACGGUCCAGACUCCUACGGGAGGCAGCAGUGGGGAAUUUUGGACAAUGGGCGCAAGCCUGAUCCAGCCAUUCCGCGUGAGUGAAGAAGGCCUUCGGGUUGUAAAGCUCUUUCGGCAGGGAAGAAAAGGUUCUGGUUAAUAGCUGGAACUGCUGACGGUACCUGAAGAAGAAGCACCGGCUAACUACGUGCCAGCAGCCGCGGUAAUACGUAGGGUGCGAGCGUUAAUCGGAAUUACUGGGCGUAAAGGGUGCGCAGGCGGCUCUGUAAGUCUGACGUGAAAUCCCCGGGCUUAACCUGGGAACUGCGUUGGAAACUGUAGAGCUAGAGUGUAGCAGAGGGGGGUAGAAUUCCACGUGUAGCAGUGAAAUGCGUAGAGAUGUGGAGGAAUACCGAUGGCGAAGGCAGCCCCCUGGGUUAACACUGACGCUCAGGCACGAAAGCGUGGGUAGCAAACAGGAUUAGAUACCCUGGUAGUCCACGCCCUAAACGAUGUCAACUAGUUGUUGGGGAGGGAGACCUCCUUGGUAACGCAGCUAACGCGUGAAGUUGACCGCCUGGGGAGUACGGUCGCAAGAUUAAAACUCAAAGGAAUUGACGGGGGCCCGC
rnacentral:rRNA from 1 species